CGAUCACAUGACCGGAUGUGGGAAAUGGGCGGAGCCGGAGCUUCCUUGAGAGAAAGAUCCUGGGAGAGAGGGAGAGCUCUGUCGGUAACUGCCGCGUCCUCCGCCCCAGCCUGGUUCCCUCACGGAGGAGCCCGCCCGGCGCGCCUCGGCUAAGAAAAAAUGACUGCAAUCAAGCAUGCAUUACAAAGAGAUAUUUUCACACCAAAUGAUGAACGUUUACUGAGCAUUGUGAAUGUCUGCAAAGCAGGAAAAAAGAAGAAAAACUGUUUUUUGUGUGCCACAGUGACAACUGAACGCCCAGUACAGGUGAACGUGGUGAAAGUGAAGAAAUCUGAUAAGGGAGACUUCUACAAAAGACAAAUUGCGUGGGCCCUUCGAGAUCUUGCUGUGGUGGAUGCCAAAGAUGCCAUUAAAGAGAAUCCAGAAUUUGAUUUACAUUUUGAAAAAAUAUAUAAGUGGGUUGCCAGCAGUACUGCAGAAAAGAAUGCAUUUAUUUCCUGUAUUUGGAAAUUGAAUCAGAGAUAUCUUCGAAAGAAAAUUGAUUUUGUCAAUGUUAGUUCACAACUUUUAGAAGAACUGCCUAAAGUUACAGAAGAAUCUGUUCCAAGUGGAGAGAAUCAGAGUGUGACAGGAGGAGAUGAAGAAGCUGUAGAUGAGUAUCAAGAGUUAAAUGCAAGAGAAGAACAGGAUAUUGAGAUCAUGAUGGAAGGCUGUGAAUAUGCUAUCUCUAAUGCUGAAGCUUUUGCAGAAAAGUUAUCAAGAGAGCUGCAGGUCCUAGAUGGGGCAAACAUCCAGUCAAUCAUGGCAUCUGAGAAACAGGUGAAUAUCCUGAUGAAGUUGCUGGAUGAAGCUCUUAAGGAGGUGGAUCAGAUUGAACUGAAGCUGAGCAGCUAUGAAGAAAUGCUACAAAGUGUAAAGGAACAAAUGGAUCAAAUCUCAGAAAGCAACCACUUAAUUCAUCUUAGUAACACUAAUAAUGUAAAACUCCUGUCAGAGAUAGAAUUCCUUGUGAACCACAUGGAUUUGGCAAAAGGUCACAUAAAGGCUCUUCAGGAAGGAGACCUUGCUUCUUCUAGAGGCAUUGAGGCCUGUACAAAUGCAGCUGAUGCCCUUCUACAGUGUAUGAAUGUAGCUCUUCAUCCAGGACAUGACAUGCUACAUGCAGUCAAACAACAGCAACAACGAUUUAGUGAUUUGCGAGAGCAGUUUGCCCGAAGACUUGCCAGUCAUCUUAACAAUGUUUUUGUUCAACAGUUUACUCAGGCCCUUCUUCAGCUCUAUAGCAGGUCCAACUUUCUUUCAGUUCCUGGACAUGACCAGAGUUCCACUCUUGCACAGCACUCCAUUGAGUUGACAUUGCCUAAUCACCACCCUUUUCACAGAGACUUGCUCCGAUAUGCCAAAUUGAUGGAGUGGCUAAAAAGUACAGAUUAUGGGAAAUAUGAAGGACUAACAAAGAAUUACAUGGAUUAUUUAUCAAGACUAUAUGAAAGAGAAAUAAAAGAUUUUUUUGAAGUUGCAAAGAUCAAGAUGACAGGCACCACUAAAGAGAGCAAGAAGUUUGCUACACUGCCUCGAAAAGAAAGUGCUGUCAAACAAGAAACAGAGAGUCUUCAUGGAAGUUCUGGGAAAUUGACUGGAUCUACAUCUAGCCUAAAUAAACUCAGUGUUCAGAGUUCUGGGAGUCGUAGAUCUCAGUCAUCCUCUUUGUUGGAUAUGGGAAACAUGUCUGCUUCCGAUCUUGAUGUAGCUGACAGAACCAAGUUUGAUAAGAUCUUUGAACAGGUUCUAAGUGAAUUAGAACCCUUAUGUCUAGCAGAACAGGACUUCAUAAGUAAAUUUUUCAAACUGCAGCAACAUCAAAACAUUCCUGGAACUAUGACUGAAGCAGAAGAAUUAGAUGGAGGAAUAUCAUCACGGCAGUAUAACCCUGGUUUACUACAGUCUAUAUCAUCUGAGAAAGAUAUGAUCCGCCAAAUGAUGAUUAAAAUAUUUCGCUGCAUUGAGCCAGAACUGAACAAUCUGAUUGCAUUAGGAGACAAAAUUGAUAGCUUUAACUCCCUCUACAUGCUAGUCAAAAUGAGUCAUCAUGUAUGGACGGCACAAAAUGUGGAUCCUGCUUCCUUUCUCAGUACCACAUUGGGAAAUGUUUUGGUGACUGUAAAAAGGAACUUUGACAAAUGCAUUAGUAACCAAAUAAGACAGAUGGAAGAAGUAAAGAUCUCAAAGAAGAGCAAAGUGGGGAUUCUACCAUUUGUUGCGGAAUUUGAAGAAUUUGCAGGGCUUGCUGAAUCAAUCUUCAAAAAUGCAGAGCGUCGUGGAGAUCUGGAUAAAGCUUACAUAAAACUUAUAAGAGGAGUCUUUGUAAAUGUGGAGAAAGUAGCAAAUGAAAGCCAGAAGACUCCCAGGGAUGUGGUAAUGAUGGAGAACUUCCACCACAUUUUUGCAACUCUUUCUCGAUUGAAGAUCUCAUGUCUAGAGGCUGAAAAAAAAGAAGCAAAACAGAAGUACACAGAUCACCUUCAGUCUUAUGUUAUCUAUUCUUUAGGACAGCCUCUUGAAAAACUGAAUCACUUCUUUGAGGGUGUUGAAGCUCGAGUAGCACAAGGUAUAAGAGAAGAAGAAGUAAGUUACCAACUUGCAUUUAAUAAACAAGAACUUCGUAAAGUUAUCAAAGAAUAUCCUGGAAAAGAGGUGAAGAAAGGACUAGAUAAUCUCUAUAAGAAAGUUGAUAAGCACCUUUGUGAAGAAGAGAAUUUGCUUCAGGUGGUGUGGCACUCCAUGCAAGAUGAAUUUAUACGCCAGUACAAGCACUUUGAGGGUUUGAUAGCACGAUGCUACCCUGGAUCUGGUGUUACAAUGGAAUUCACCAUUCAGGACAUUCUGGACUAUUGUUCCAGCAUUGCACAGUCACAUUAGACUCAACAAAAGAAAAGCUAAUAGAAUGUUUUUUAAAUGCCAGGAAGUAUCCAGACAUAUCAAACUACAUGCUUCAAAAAAACUUGGAUUUAUAACUUUAUUAUUAAAUAUUGCUAAAUGUCAGGUAAAUGUAUAGUAAUCACAUACAUAUAUUAAAUGCAAUGUUACAGACCCUAAAUAGCAGCAGCAUUGUUCACUUACUAGGUUUUGCAUUAACUUAACAUAAUAAUUUUUCUGUUCAUUUAAAUUGCACUUAUUAUUUUUCUGUCAUUGUGCAGGAGAUUUACAGUUGUGGAUCCCUUUCUUGCUAAUGAGCAUUUGUAACCUGGAUUAUGUGAAGUGCAUUGGAAAUACAGUGGACCCUCCAACUUUAACUCAUUCUCUUUCUUGAGAAUCUUGUAACCUUUAAGAUAAUUUCACAAUACCAGCACAGAGACUACAUACAAUACUGACAAAUAACUUAGACUAAUUGAUUUCCAGCUGCUGGAAGUCAUAUUCUAAUCAAAGCAGAGCCUCUGAGGAAUUCUUGAUUCUUGCCCUGCUGAAUGUUUCAUCCCUUCGAAAGUAAGAGACAUGAGAGGCACCUACCAUUCUGGUUAACAAUAAAGAACUAGAAACAAUGGAGACCUUGGCAGAAAGUGAUCAUGUCAACUUAAAAUGUGGAAGAACAGAAGACAAGACUUGUGGGGCCAUGAUUCCUUAUAUAAUGUUUGAUGGAUUGUCAUUGGGAAGAGGGAUUAGAAUUGUUCUCCAUAAAUCCAGAGGGGAGGGGGAACAAAAGCAAUCAGUGAAAGUUAUUUGGCAGUAGAUUUCAGCUCAACAUAAGGGAAUUUAUUUCUUAAAAUGAACUUAAAAUAAAGAUAUUUCUAGCAACUUUCAGCAUGGCAUGUGACAAUAUCUUGAUAUUCUUGUGGACAAGAUGAAGAAAUAGUUACAAAAUAGUAUAAUUUGGUAUAUUCAGAACUAGUUAAAUAACCUGACCUGCAGAGUGGUAAUUAACAGAGCCAUGUUAACCUACAGAAAAGGUCUCUAGUGGCAUGUCUUCAAAGCUAUGCAUUUAGCCUUGUUCUUUUUUUUUUUUUU